UGGAACUUCGAGAAUUCAAACGAGAUUUUUCCAUUCUCUCCAACGAAACUUUCUAUAACAGGAACGGUUUGCAAUGCAAGAUUUAUUCUUCGAUUCGUGUGCCAACAUUCUUUAAUAGGAAUGAACCAGGAUUAACUAGAGUUUCAUGUAACGAAUUCUUCUUGCCUUUACUCGCAUAUCCUCAACACCUUUGGACAAUGAUUAAUAAAUAACUGGUACCGUUCGUGCAUCAGGAUCAAGGUCGCAGAAAAUUUUGAUGCAACACGCGAUGCAUUUGCAGAAAAUCCGAGAGCCGUGGGAAGUAAGGAGAUGGAACUAAGAGGAUGAAAAAUGAAGAUCGCGUUACACGAAGUGUACAAAAAGUGAUUCGGGCUUCUCGAUUCGAUUGAUCGAUCGACGUGAUGUUGGAAUGGAAAAAGAGAGAAAGAUUUCGAAGUGAAGGAAAAGAGGCCUUUCAAAUAGACAAGCGAAACCUCGUUUAUCUUUCCUUUUUAUAUUUUUCAUUCUACUAGCGAGAUACUAUAGAGAAGUGAAAGACAAAUUAAAAUUUAAUUUCUUGGUUAUUCAAGAUGUUAGAUUAAUUUUCUCUCUUUAGAAAUAUUCUUUACUCUGGUUUAAUAUUACAAGGUUUGAUACAAAACAAUUAUGAAAUUGCUGCUACUAUGAUAUUAUCGCAACGCCCAAGCAAAUAGAAAGAAAAAGGUCUCACAACUCGAGUGAUUGACAUGUUAUUCAUACAAUAUUGUAAGAAAAAUUGAUGUUAAAACGAUCAUUAAAAUACAAUGUAUAGGCACACACGUGAUAGGUAUGUAAAUCGAUGUAACACGGAAAACUAUGUUUUAAGUAGUGUGUUAAUUAUCUACGUCUUUUCCGUUACCACAGACUUAUAUAGUAUUUUAGAUUAUUUAAUAAUUCUAUUUGCUGUAAUAAAUCGUGUACGACUAUUUUUGAUAUUAAAAUUAACACGCAAUAUGACAAAUCUA